rnacentral:rRNA from 1 species
CCGAUACACAGGUGCUGCAUGGCUGUCGUCAGCUCGUGUCGUGAGAUGUUGGUUAAGUCCCGCAACGAGCGCAACCCUUGUCAUUAGUUGCUACAUUCAGUUGAGCACUCUAAUGAGACUGCCGGUGACAAACCGGAGGAAGGUGGGGAUGACGUCAAGUCCUCAUGGCCCUUAUGGGUAGGGCUUCACACGUCAUACAAUGGUACAUACAGAGGGCCGCCAACCCGCGAGGGGGAGCUAAUCCCAGAAAGUGUAUCGUAGUCCGGAUUGCAGUCUGCAACUCGACUGCAUGAAGUUGGAAUCGCUAGUAAUCGCGGAUCAGCAUGUCGCGGUGAAUACGUUCCCGGGUCUU